rnacentral:rRNA from 1 species
AAAACCCGGUACUCAGUCCAGAUUGCAGGCUGCAACUCGCCUGCAUGAAGUUGGAAUUGCUAGUAAUCGCGAAUCAGAAUGUCGCGGUGAAUACGUUCCCGGGCCUUGUACACACCGCCCGUCACACCAUGAGAGUCGAUAACACCCGAAGCCUGUGAGCUAACCGCAAGGGGGCAGCAGUCGAAGGUGGGGUUGAUGAUUGGGGUGAAGUCGUAACAAGGUAUC